rnacentral:tRNA from 1 species
GGGGACGUGGUGUAAAUGGCAACACGUACCACCAUAUGGUGAAGAUGCAGGUUCGAAUCCUGCCGCCUUCG